AGAGGACUGUUAAAAAGAAGGAGAAUAUUCUAUUGAACAAGGAUCAAGAAAGAAAAAGAAAAGAAACGGACACGACGGGGCACUCAUUUUCUCUUUCUCUGCCCUCCAGGGCCCUCUUUAUCCCUCUCACUUUUUCUUUUUUAUCCCUGCCUUUUUCCUUUCUGACCACUCGUUGUCCUUUUGGUCCUGGAGAUCUCAAGUGAGUGUGUGAAUGAAUGUAUGGAUGGAUGUCCCCUACGUGAGUGAGUGAGUGCCCGAUUCCCAUUGCCUACCUGCCUGCCUGCCUGCCUGGCUGCAUCCUCACCACUCACUACUUACUCCCCUACAAACACUCACUCACUCACUCAAUACUCACUCACUACUCAUUGGUAGUGCUCACUAAUUACUCAGCAUUUGAUCCCAUUAGCAAUCACAGAAUGGGGGGAGGGGACCUUUUUCUAUCACCCUGUCUUAAAUGACAUGUUUUAAACUGGGAACACAUGUUGGAAUUAUUUUUAUUUAUUUUAUAAUGAACUUUCCUUUCAUGCUAAAGUAGGAACUACAGCUGAGUUUAAUCCAAGCCUCCAGAACAAAGUAGACAAUCAAUUCAAAUAAGUACAUGAACAAAUCUUAAUUAACAUUGAUAAGGAGGAAGAAAUUUAUGAAUAAAUAUAUGAUGAUGAAUUUCAGUUCAUAAUUUUU
rnacentral:lncRNA from 1 species